rnacentral:rRNA from 1 species
AGAGUUUGAUCCUGGCUCAGAUUGAACGCUGGCGGCAUGCCUUACACAUGCAAGUCGAACGGCAGCAUGACCUAGCUUGCUAGGUUGAUGGCGAGUGGCGAACGGGUGAGUAAUACAUCGGAACGUGCCCUGUAGUGGGGGAUAACUAGUCGAAAGAUUAGCUAAUACCGCAUACGACCUGAGGGUGAAAGUGGGGGACCGCAAGGCCUCAUGCUACAGGAGCGGCCGAUGUCUGAUUAGCUAGUUGGUGAGGUAAAGGCUCACCAAGGCGACGAUCAGUAGCUGGUCUGAGAGGACGAUCAGCCACACUGGGACUGAGACACGGCCCAGACUCCUACGGGAGGCAGCAGUGGGGAAUUUUGGACAAUGGGCGAAAGCCUGAUCCAGCGAUGCCGCGUGUGUGAAGAAGGCCUUCGGGUUGUAAAGCACUUUUGUCCGGAAAGAAAUGGCUCUGGUUAAUACCUGGAGUCGAUGACGGUACCGGAAGAAUAAGGACCGGCUAACUACGUGCCAGCAGCCGCGGUAAUACGUAGGGUCCAAGCGUUAAUCGGAAUUACUGGGCGUAAAGCGUGCGCAGGCGGUUGUGCAAGACCGAUGUGAAAUCCCCGGGCUUAACCUGGGAAUUGCAUUGGUGACUGCACGGCUAGAGUGUGUCAGAGGGAGGUAGAAUUCCACGUGUAGCAGUGAAAUGCGUAGAGAUGUGGAGGAAUACCGAUGGCGAAGGCAGCCUCCUGGGAUAACACUGACGCUCAUGCACGAAAGCGUGGGGAGCAAACAGGAUUAGAUACCCUG